ensembl:lncRNA
AGAAAUCAUAGGUGUCCUGAGAGAUUGCCUGUUACGUCGGAUCCUUAAAAACAAUAUAUAUUUUUGGCGAUCUUAAGAGUGGACAGUCUAAAUCUUAUUCUGGUAAAUGAGCUGGAAGGAUUCCCCUCUAAUUCAGGAAUACUGAAGGGGGAGUGGUGUUGGGUUGUUUAGUCAGCAGCCAAUUAGAAUUCACUAUUCAGAAACGUCACCAGUUCCUAAGCUGAAUUGAAUCUUCGCGGUUCCACUGCGAGCACGGAAGCGAUGUGUUGUAAUAUGAAUGCCGUAUAUUUGAAGUGUAUAAACGUCACAUUGUUACGGGGUAAAAGUGAGUCACCCUGGAUUCCUAUGGAAAAGCAGAUGCUUUCAGACGAGUAAAACUCGGCAUUUAUCUCAUCACAAGCACAAUCAUUUUCAGACUCGGACCAUGAGGGAGAAGAGCUCUUCUUAUUUAAGGGGCGAGCAUUUCAGAGGACUGUGACUGACUGUAUUAGGAGUUUGACCACUCUGAAAGCAUCCAGGACCUUUGACCUUAAUUUACAUCAACACUUUAUAUUGUAUCCCGUCAUUGACUACAAAGGAUUUGCAUCAAAGUAUUAAAAAUAAUACUCAUAAUUGUCAACUUAUGCAAUAACAUUUGAGCCUGUGAAAAUAGAGGAACUGUCUAUAAAAUGUCUGUAAUUCCUAAACUGUUAAUGCAAUAUUUUAAAUGAAAUUUUCACUCAAAUCUUGAUUGCUUCCUUUCAAAUACAUUAUGUUGGUGUACAGAGGUAAAAUUAUGAAAAUUGUCACUGUCCAAAUACUUAUGGACCCGACGGUCUCAUCUGUGCUUCCCAUUUAAAAACCACCAGCUGGUUCCACAUGUUACUUCCCAGUUCCAUACUUACAUGUAAUGUCAUUUCUGAGCAUAAUUUCUCUCCACACACACACUGCAUCUGGUACAACAGGAAUACUCUAUGCAAAAAUUAAUCUUUAUACUUUAAAACUUGGUGUAAAUAUUUUGCUGGACAAUUAGUUAUUUAACAAAUAAGUAAUACUCUGAUGACUAAUCAUCUCAUUGUCCACCAUCAAAAAUGUAAGAUGCCUUGUUAAAAUAAAGAGUUGUUUUGUUAUGUGUGACAGUUUGGAUCCAUUAAGAGAGUAUAUUUUUAGCUAAGAAAACCUACAUGAUUAAGUUUUAGAUUUGAAUGUUAGAGCUAAUGCUAAUCCUCAUUUAGUAGCUAGCUAACGUUAACCAACACGUUUUAGAAUAAUAUUUAAAUUCUAUUUGAUCGAUCACUGCACGACGGUCAUUGAAAGCUAAAAAAAGUACCAUUUUAAAAUAUCAGUUUGAUAGUGUAAAUGACUGGCUAGCUGACUAGUUUGCAAGCUAAUGCUAAUCCUCAUUUUGUAACAUGGUCGAUCGGAGUUGUCAG